GACGAACGCUGGCGGUGUGCUUAACACAUGCAAGUCGAACGGGUCUGCCCUGUUUUUUGCGGGGUGGGUCAGUGGCGAACGGGUGAGUAACACGUGAGUAACCUGCCCCUCACUUCCGGAUAACCGCUUGAAAGGGUGGCUAAUACGGGGUGUUCUGGCUGUGCCGCAUGGUGUGGCUGGGAAAGAUUCACUUUUGUGGUGUUUUGGUGGGGGAUGGGCUCGCGGCCUAUCAGCUUGUUGGUGGGGUGAUGGCCUGCCAAGGCUUUGACGGGUAGCCGGCCUGAGAGGGUGGGCGGUCACACUGGGACUGAGAUACGGCCCAGACUCCUGCGGGAGGCAGCAGUGGGGGGUAUUGCACAAUGGGCGGAAGCCUGAUGCAGCGACGUCGCGUGAGGGAUGGAGGCCUUCGGGUUGUGAACCUCUUUCGCCGGUGAAGAAGGUCCUGCUCUUUGUGGUGGGGUUGACGGUAGCCGGGUUAUGAAGCGCCGGCUAACUACGUG
rnacentral:rRNA from 1 species